UUCCCAAAAUUUUUGUCUUCCUCCCUCCCAAUUCCUAUAUCUCUCUCGCUCUUUCUCUCUCUCCCUCUUUCUCUCUCCGUCUACUUUUUUCCGUACAUAUAUAUACAAAAUUUUCUGCUCACUUUCUGGCAGAUGAAUAGGAGGUAUACAAGCCUACAUGUGUAUAAUAUCUAUAUACUAUACAUGUAAUAUAUGGGGAGGAAAAAAUAUAGAAAUAAAAUGAAACAAAAACAUCAUCACUAUACCAGUCACAGUAUUUAUGUAUACAAAUCUAUUGUUUACUAGUUUUUAGAACGUCAUUAUUAUAUAUUGUUAACUAUAUUAAUAAUUGGUAUAUAAUAAAACACACACGAAAUGAGAGAGUAAAAAAAAAAAAAAAAACAUUUUAAGAUAUCAUGUGUAAAGUGUUCGGUUAUCGCGCGUCAGGGAUCGUGGCUCUAGCUUUCGCCCCGUGUCGCCACCAACACGCCUAACCCACCCCCACCCUCGCCCCCACCUCUCUUAAAUCUGUGAAAAUCACCCCUCAUGUAAAUAAUACCCUGCAGAAAAAAGGUAAAUAGACGAAAUCCCGCGUCAUUAUGAUUUAUUAUUAUCACAUUAUAUUAUUAUUAUUAUUAUUAUUACUAUUAUUGUAUUAUUUUUGUCAUUAUUAAUAUUCAUAUUACUAUUAUGAUUACCGCUAUUAUACUAUUAUUAAUUCUUUAAUCAUCGUCAAAUAUAGAUUUUAAUAUUUAUCAGUAUAAUACGCCAUUUAGUAGGGAACGCAAGAUAAUUAUGUCAUUUUCUUUCACAUUUUUCAUUCCUUCUAUCAUACUUGUACGCACAUAUAUA